GGCGCUCGCUCACUCGUAGCAUUGAGUUUAAUGGUGCAGGUACUUUUAAAUGACCAUAACUUGCUCAAUUUUCUACCGAUUUUCAAACGGUUUGGAUUUUUACAAACGUUAUUAACGUGGCUAUAAUUCUGGAUGCUUUAACAUGUUUCAUGAAUUUAUUUUUUAUUUUUAGUAUAGGUAUGCAGUGUCAUAGGUACAUCUUUGACGUUUAUAACAAACCAAACCGUUUGAAAAUCGGUAAAAAAUUAAGCAAGUUAUGGUCAUUUAAAAGUACCUGCAUCAUUAAAACUCAAUGCUACGAGUGAGCGAGCGCCCUGUCGUAAGAUGGCCGCCAAAAUGCGGACGUUGCACUCCAUUGGCCAGCAGCGCGGACGAGCCAUCUAGCCUUUAUACAUAUCUAUGACGUCGCUGGCUGUCUGAACGAGGGGUUAAGCUGUUUUAAACAACUUUGGUGAAGAAAUGUGGAGUUUAACUUCAGGUGAUGUGCUCGACUUUAAGGAGUACCCGUUUCUAAGAACCGGUCCCAAACAUUAGAUUUAGCAGCUUGACCUUAUUUUCCUUUAAUGAUGUAAAUCCCCGAUCUUAAUUUCUCCCCCACCUCGUUUUCCAUCUUCACUUUUUCUCAGUUUGUUUUGCUGUUGUCGCUGACGACGGGAGCUGCCUGCUUGGCGCUUUUGUAACGUGAGGUCAAAGGUUUGGACAUCACGCAAGUUACGUUGCUACGUAGGCCUACACGUGUUGUAUCCAGCGGUUACCUUACAACUAACGCAGAACAAAGAUAAAGUGAAUACUCACCGCCAGAAACAACAUGCAGUACAUCCCGAAAGAGGAGUGACCCGAGUAGAACGACAGCCUGGUGCAGAAGAGCCGUGGGAGGGAUGGAGAUACGAACAGACAACAAAAAAAUAGGACGAGAGGAAACAGUUACCAUUGUGUAAAAGAAUGGAGCAUUUUCUGAAGUGGUGAACAGACUGACUGAAGAUAUUUUAAAUGUUGUCUGAUCCAUUAUAUUGAUUAAUAACAAGAUCAGCUUUUGAUUUUGACCUUCAUAUCACUGUGCAUUAUUUAAAAAAGUUGAAAAACUAGCAAUUGUUUUUAUUUGAAAUUCGUCUUACGUGAUCCAGUCGUGUUGUGUCUACGUGUACUUGAGUAAAGCUUAAAUGUUAAUUUCAUGUUGAGAAAAUGCAAGUCAAUCAUGUGGAACCACUGUCCAUUAAAUUAUGUUUACCCCAAAAGUUUUUUUUAGUGUAUCAAACAAAAUGCUGAAUAUGGGUUGGGUUUAGGGUUGCAACCUUGUACUGCAAGUACAUGACUGUAAAAUAUAGUUCUACCCAAACUUUAUCAGAUGCAUCUGAAGCUUUUAUAGAAACCACUUUGGGUUUUUUCACUGAACCUCAAGGUCCAUAUGAUUUGAGGAAAUCCUGCAUAUUAUUGUUGUCAUGGUUGGUGCUUCCACAGAUAAAAGGGAAAUUUUAAGUAGCUUAAAUGUUUCCAAUUAAUCCUUUAGUUGGUCAAAACUAAAAAAACAAAGAAGAAGUACUGAGACUAUAUCCUGAAGUAAUAUGAGCCUCUUACAAGCAUGAAUUCCUUUGAAAGUGCUGAUGCAUCAUGGGAAAGAGGAAAUAAGUUCAUCGUACAGUAUCCUGUACACAUAAAAAUAUAAAAGUAUAAAUCAGACAAGUCUAAUAUCAUAAGACCUCAUCAAAGCACCAGAAGAGGAAAUUUAUCAAGAGCGGAUGUUUUAAGCAAAGGCACGAACUACACUCUCAGACAAAAAGGUACAAAAGUUGUCACUGGGACGGUAACUUUUAUCAAAAGGUCCUUAUAUGUACCAUUUUGGUACAAGUAUGUAUCUCUAAGGUAUCAAUGUGCAUCUUUUAGCUACAACGUGUAGGAAGGAUAACAUAGCGGGGAACACUCCCCAGAACUAAAAAUAAAUGUAAAAAACAAAUCCAUAAUAAAUUCAAUAAAUGCAGAAAGUUUCACCUGUAUUUUUAACUCAUUCUCCGCCAGCCAUUUUUUGAAAAGUCGCCCACCAGCAAUUUUUGUGAUUUUCACAAAAUGCC